rnacentral:rRNA from 1 species
UACGACGGGGGCUAGCGUUGCUCGGAAUCACUGGGCGUAAAGGGUGCGUAGGCGGGUUUUUAAGUCAGGGGUGAAAUCCUGGAGCUCAACUCCAGAACUGCCUUUGAUACUGAAGAUCUUGAGUCCGGGAGAGGUGAGUGGAACUGCGAGUGUAGAGGUGAAAUUCGUAGAUAUUCGCAAGAACACCAGUGGCGAAGGCGGCUCACUGGCCCGGUACUGACGCUGAGGCACGAAAGCGUGGGGAGCAAACAGG